rnacentral:rRNA from 1 species
UGGCAGUCACGGGUAACGGAGAAUUAGGGUUCGAUUCCGGAGAGGGAGCCUGAGAAACGGCUACCACAUCUAUGGAAGGCAGCAGGCGCGUAAAUUACCCAAUCCUGACUCAGGGAGGUAGUGACAAGAAAUAACAACCUAUGUCCUUCGGGACUGUGGAUUGUCAUGAGUUUAAUUUAAAACACUAAACGAGGAACAAUUGGAGGGCAAGUCUGGUGCCAGCAGCCGCGGUAAUUCCAGCUCCAAUAGCGUAUAUUAAAGUUGUUGCAGUUAAAAAGCUCGUAGUUGAAUUUCUAAAUAGUGCAUAUUUGAUUUAUCAUUAUGCAUUAUUUAUCCGACAUUAAAUUUUAUUGGAUAUUAAUUUAUCCAUAAAAUGAACUGUCAUUUUACUUUGAAAAAAUUAGAGUGUUUCAGGCAGGCAAUUGCCCGAAUAUCUUAGCAUGGAAUAAUGGAAUAGGACUUUGGUUCAUUUUAUUGGUUAUUGAAUCAGAGUAAUGAUUAAUAGGGACAGUUGGGGGCAUUAGUAUUUAAUUGUCAGAGGUGAAAUUCUUGGAUUUAUUAAAGACUAACUUAUGCGAAAGCAUUUGCCAAGGAUGUUUUCAUUAAUCAAGAACGAAAGUUAAGGGAUCAAAGACGAUCAGAUACCGUCCUAGUCUUAACUAUAAACUAUACCGACUCAGGAUUGGCAAAAUCUCAAGUUUUGUCAGCACUGUAUGAGAAAUUAAAGUCUUUGGGUUCUGGGGGGAGUAUGGUCGCAAGGCUGAAACUUAAAGGAAUUGACGGAAGGGCACCACCAGGAGUGGAGCCUGCGGCUUAAUUUGACUCAACACGGGGAAACUUACCAAGGCCAAACAGAGGUGGGAUUGACAGAUUGAGAGCUCUUUCUUGAUUCUUUGGGUGGUGGUGCAUGGCCGUUCUUAGUUGGUGGAGUGAUUUGUCUGGUUAAUUCCGUUAACGAACGAGACCUUAACCUGCUAACUAGUUUAUUUUCUCACAGAGAAUAAUACUUCUUAGAGGGACUAUAUAUGUUAAGUAUAUGGAAGUUUGAGGCAAUAACAGGUCUGUGAUGCCCUUAGAUGCCUUGGGCCGCACGUGCGCUACAAUGACAUGCUCAACGAGUUUUUUCCUGAUUCGGAAGAAUUUGGGUAAUCUUUAUAGGACAUGUCGUGUUAGGGAUCGAUCUUUGGAAUUAUA